rnacentral:rRNA from 1 species
UACGUAGGGGGCAAGCGUUAUCCGGAUUUACUGGGUGUAAAGGGAGCGUAGACGGCAUGGCAAGCCAGAUGUGAAAUACCGGGGCUCAACCCCGGGACUGCAUUUGGAACUGUUAAGCUGGAGUGUCGGAGAGGCAGGCGGAAUUCCUAGUGUAGCGGUGAAAUGCGUAGAUAUCACACAGAACACCGAUUGCGAAGGCAUCUCACGAAUCCGCGAUUGACGCUGAUGCACGAAAGCGUGGGUAUCAAACAGG